UGCCCCCUGUGGUGUUCGCUAGUGGGACCGUCAAAUGCCUUGUCCCUAAUUACCGACCUCGGGGCAGCUGAUCUGAGUGCUGGUGUGCAUGUUCGCUUUCAGCGAAAAGCCUGAAGCCUCGUAAGCCGUCCCACCUGAGCCUUUGGUUCAAGGUCACCGGCCCGCGGCGGCACCAUGGAGGGCCC
rnacentral:other from 1 species